UAUUUUUAUAUUUUUCUUAUGAAAAUUGGAUGAUUUUACUCAGUUCCUAAGUAUAUUUUUUUCCUAUUUUUAAAUAAAUUGUUUACAUCUUGUUUUCUCUAAAAGCACAAGUUUGUCAGUUACAGAGGUUUUCUCUGGCACAAUAAAUUGCAUCUGAACUGGAGAUAUUUGCUGAGGGAAAUUUGAGAACCAUGGCAAAGUCCAUGUGUCUCCAGUUUUAACUGCAGUCUCUAACCAUCAGACGUCAGGUUGCUCUUGUGCCCCUACUGCCUACUCAUUCCUGCCUGCACAGUGUCCUGACUUGAAGGAGGAAUGGAGAUAGGUUCAGUUUUUAAAAUCUUUUUUUUGCUUCAUACUUUGAUACAAAGUUCACUUCAUCCAACUCAUCUAUGCUCAGAGCAUAGAUCUAUGCCCAGCUGAAUUUGGGUCCACCCAGUCUUGGCUGUGUUGAAGAGUAAAUGUUGUCUACCAUUCCUCAUACUUUGCCUACACCAAUCUUAACCCAAGACAAACCUGAAACUUUCUUAAAGGGUGCAUAACUGAGUUGUUUUUAUGCACAUAGGACAACUAUAUCUGUACAAAGUAUUCUGAGACAAAUCCUGUCCUGAAUUUUCUCCCCAUAGCAUAACAUAGCAGCUCAAUUUUCUGAAAACUGCAUAAUUUAAUUAAAAACACAUUUAUUUAGACUUCUGUAAAAUACUGAAAAUUCUUGUAGAAAUUUUGGUGCAACCUCUAUGGGAGUAUUUGGGGGUUUUGUGUGGUUUUGUUUGUUAGUUUCCGGGUUUCUGUUUUUUUUUGUGUUUUUUUUUUGGUGUUUGUUUUUUGUUGUUGUUGUUGUUUUUGUGUUUUUGUUUUGUUUUGUUUUUGUUUGUUUGUUUGUUUUUUACAAACCUGCCAGCUAAGUGAUAAUUCUGUUAAGUUUGUAUGUCACUUAUUAUCUAUCAAGACAGAUAAUUGUAACUCAUUCAGUGGGGUCAUCACGAGGAAAAAGUUAAUAGCUUCCAGCUAAGAAAAUCUCAGCUCAUCCUUGUAAGGCAGAAGGGAAAAUAAAUUUUAAGUGUCUUAGAUCCAUUCUCCAAUAUGGUGCAAGACUUGUUUUGCUACCUGAGUAACAUAUGACUUUGGACUCCAAAAAGUGAUAUUAUCUUUUGAACCAGGGUUGUUGCCAACAAAUACGAAUACAUUCUUGUAUUUGUGGACAGCUGAAUUCACUCUCAAAUCCAAAUGUGUCUGCCAGGCCCAGUAAUCAUGUGCAAACGAAUACCCACAAGCAGACUAGAGCCAAUUCCCCAUCAAGCCACAGGGUAGCCAAGCGUGCUCAGCCCAUCAGCGCAGCUCUCAGGUCUUGUUCAGUCUGGGCAAGGUAGAUCUGGUAGAGGUGGCCAUCCUGCAUCUUGAGCUACCAGUAGGUGUUUAAAGCACCUAAUGAAUGCUUUCAACCAUAGCUAGAACUGAGCCCAAGAGAUGAAUGAAAAGUGCGUGGGUCACAGAGUUUGUUGUACUUUAACUUGCUUUUAACCUUUAUUAGCCAAAAUACCAAGUGGUUUUUAAAGGAUUCAGCUGUUUCUUGGGAGCAAAGGGGGAGAUUAUACUAUCCAGUCAUUCAGACACUGGGUCUAGAAUAAACUUAAAUACCCCAAAUUACCAACUGGUAAAUUGGCAGAUACCAGUCUGGGCUAAAAUUUAACAACUGUUUAUUUCUGAAGUUCUUUAAAAAUAACUAUAAUAGCAAGUUUAAUGUAAUAAGCAGUUGAGACUUUUUUUUUUCUUACAUUAAUCACUGGCUAUGAUUUUGCAAGAGAGGUAGCAGUGGGAACCUACCCUAAACCUGUGUGUGUAAUUGUGGCUAUUAGCCAGAUGAAUGUACCCUUGGGCUGACUUUUACCAUGUGAUAGUCUUACACAGGUGUAAGUGAUAGUUGAAACACAAAGCUUUAGCAAAAAGAUCAGAGAUAAAGUUACCUUCUUCGCAGUGUUUAUGAGGUUCUUCAAAAUAAUAAAUGACAGAAUGAAAUUACAGACUUCAUUAAGUGGUGUCCUCAUCCAGUCCAAAUUCAAUAAUUACUGGUGUCAUGGUAGUCUCUCUGAUGUCUGUUGUAAGAAGGUUUAAAGAUUAUCAGCUUUGAUCUGACAAUGGUUUGUGCCUAUUCAAUUUCCAUUAUCUCAGUGUCAUUCCUAAUAUGACAUCAUUUAAUAAAUGUGAAGUUGUGAGAAAUUUUCAUGGAUGUUGCUUUACAUUAGUAGUUUCUUCAGCAUUGGUGCCUCAUGUUUAAUAAUAAAUUUGGGCACCUCUACAUGAUUUCUCACCAGGGCACUACUAGGAAGUACUAUUAGCUCCUUUUUGAAGAUAUGAAAUUGAGGAUCCAGAGGAAUAAUGCAUCCUAUGAGGAUUCAGUAGUGGAGCCCAAAAUAGGAGCUGGGGUUCUCAACUUCUAAUUCAGUAUCUGAACUGGGUUAUGCUGCCAUAAUUUAAUAUUGCUUGAUGCAGUACUGAUGUAACAAUUACAUAUAUUUCUGAAGGAAGGCACAAUGUAUAGGCAAUGUAUUGUCAAAGCAGUACAAAAAGAAGUACUUUAUGAUUGUAUCACAGUGUGGUGGGUUAACCCUGGCUACGCAUUAGGUGACCCCCAAGCCACUUUAUAACUCCCCUUACUCAGCAGGACAGGGGGAGAAAAUACAACAAAAAACCCCAUGGGCUGAGUUAAGGAUAGAGAGAUCACUCACUUAUUACUGUUAUGGGCAAAACAGAUUCAGCUUGGGGAAAUUAAUUUAAUUUAUUACCAAUUAAUAAUGGAAUAAGACAAUGAGAAAUGAAAGCUAAACUAAAACCACCUUAUCCCUACCUCUUCCCUUCUUCCUGGGCUCAACUUCACUCCCAACUCUUCUACCUUCUCACACUGACCAGUGCAGAGGGACGGGGAAGGGGGGUUGUGGUCAGUCCAUAACACUUUGUCUCUGCUGCUCCUUCCUCCUCAAGCCCUGCCCCUGCUUCAGCAUGAGAUCCCUCACAUGGGAGACAGUCCUUCCCAUGAGCUGCAGGCCUUCAAGAACUUCUCCAGCAUGGGCUGUUUCUCUCACAGUUUCUCACUCCUCUCUUAGAGCUGCUGCACAGUGUUUUUUACCCUUUCUUAAAUGUUUUCACAGACGUGCGACCAAAGCCACUGAUAGACUCAGCUGUGGCCAGUGGCAUUUCCAUCUUGGAACUGGCUAAAACUGGCUCUGCCCAACAUGGGGGGAGCUCCUGGUGUCUUCCAACUGAACCCAUUCCUACAAUCUCUCCACUAUCAAAACCUUGCCAGAAUCACAGGAUGGUUGGUGUUGGAAGGGACCUCUGGACAUCAUGCAGUCCAACCCAUCUGUGGGGUUCACCCGGCGCAGAUCACACAGGAAUAUGUCCAGUCAUAAUGAAGUCAGAGAUAGGAAAUUUAUAGAGUCUCUGAAAUCUCUGAAAUCUCAGCUGGGAGAGCGAAGAUGCAGGUUCAGAUGUCCUACAGCAAAUUCAGAUUAAAGACCAGAACUCAAGCCUUCUAUGAGGUUCUAGGCAUGUACCAGUAAGUGGAUUGUAAACAGCUGUAACCAUAAAUCCAUCAUGACAAACUCAUCAAGACAAAAUGUCCUCAAGGAGCAUCUGCUCACAGAACGUCACAUCCAUUGCUCCAUACCAAGUGGCCUUGCCUACAUUUCCCUUACAGAUGAACUGAUUUCUUUCUGUUAAAACCAAUGCCAGAUACUUCCACUUGCUCAUGAAAUGUAAUGCUUGUUUUCCUCUGCCCUUGAAGUAAACAGAGUUUUCAGUAUGAGCACUGUAACUUCCUUUUAAAUAAAAUUUCUGAUGUUUUUGCCAGUGAACAAUUUGGAAAUCAGGAAGUAUUCAAACGUUUCCUACGGUAUGAAGUGGCUGUAAAGCUACUCUGUAGAGCACAGCUGAGGAUUUCCGAGUUGUGGCAAUAAAGCUGAUUUACUUCCUCUCCACUACUCCACAUAAGGUAUAAGAAGUAGAAAAGAUCACGGUCCAUUGUACUAGAUCCUGAACAGAUUAGCUUAGUAGCUGUCACUUAUAUACCUGACACUUGGUAGCUGUCAGGCAAUUUUAAGUUUUUUUUUUUUGCACUCCCUUUGGAACCAUUUUGGCCAUCUGCUAACUUAGUGGAGGCAAAGAGUAGUGAGAUUUUUAAAACUAAUGCCCAAAAUAUGAAGACCUACCCCUAUUCUCUUGAAGCAGAUAAAUAAUUUAAGGUUUUUAGUGCUCAGGACUUCAGAACAGAGCUGAAACUUCUAAGGCAUCUUAUUAGAAACUUUGUUGGCUUCCUGGUCCUGGGAGUAUGGUGCUCAUUUCUCAGUGAUAGUUGCAGCUUUUCUGCUUCUAGACUGUUUUGGCACAAGGCUGUGUUAAAGGGUGGUAAAAAAGAGUGAAAGAAGUUAUUAAUCUGAAGGUGUUAUUCAUCACAACAUUUGAACUGCUUCUGAGUAUUUAAAAUUUUCAGAGAAAGCUUGUGUUGGUUCUUAUGCUAAAUAGGUUGAUUAUCCUUAAAAGAUUCCUAGUCUAGCUUUUGUCUUAGUAUUAUGUUUUAGUGAAUUAAUUCAAGUUUUUAGUAGUGCUCUGGGACAAAGCAGAACAUUGCAGCAAAUGUGGCAGAGAUUUAUAUGUUCAGGUCUUUAAUUUGCAUUUUAGUAUAAUCAGAAUGUUUUUCAUUUGUGUUUUUAGUAUUAAUUUAGUUUUUCUGUGUACAGUUAAUGCUUCAAAUCUUUCCAUUUAUCUUUCCAGUUCCUCCACAUGCCAAAUGCACUGAUUCUCAAUGGUUCUUCCAGGACAUGUUGGCUAUUCCCUUGGUAACACAUUGUUUAAUCCUUGACUAGUCUUGCUGCACUAAAUCUAAGAGACUUUAGAGCCAUGAAUCUGAAUGCUGAUGCAAUCCCCAGACAGAUCCAUUUAUAUUAGGAGUGUGCACAUUGCUAAUGUUCGCUCUUUCUAUCUAGGCUGGGGCCGUUUGCACGUGUUACUUAUUUGGCUUCACAAAUAAGCUUUAGCAGUCUGGAAAAUAAUAGGACACACUAUUUGUGACUGUUGGGGAUCUCACAUUGCUGACACUGACUGUCUGUGGGAGGUAUGGUUUAAUAGUUGAAGCUGAAGAUUGGAGGUGGAGAGAUCUGCAUUUUUUUUUGUAACACAUUUAUGGUACAUCCUAAGUGAAAAGAGAUUUUUGUGAAGUUCAAUUUAAAAUAUUUCUAUAUUUCUCCUAAAAAUGGUCUAGUAAUAAAGUAUUCAAAAGGGAAAUAUAUUUAAGUAUGACAAUUUGCUGCAUCCUUGCUGCAAGUGACUCUUCAGAAAAGAAAGAUAUCUAAUCUGCAAAUUGUAAUCAAUAAUAUGUAUGUAUUACAGUGCCUUGGUUGUCCUAUCUGAAGUCCCAGUAGAUUUUUUUCUUACUUUUUCUCUAAUGAAUUAUUGACUUUUCAGUCCCAGUUGCAUCUAGUAAAUGUUUGAUACUAAAGCAGCACAAAUGAUGUUUUUUUCAAAAAAAGCUUACAUGUCUCUAUUUUUUAAAAGCCUAAAUAUUCCUAUAAUUAUUUUUUUUGUCUGCAAUUUGUGGCAACAAGUUGUCAUAUCAAAUAUUACCAAAAUCUAUCCUGAGCUUUGCUGCCUUACUUUGUUAACCAGUCCUGCUCAAUAGCUGUCAUUGUUACAUGAAGACUGACAUCAGAAUUAGAUUGAUUCCUGCACUUAAACAAUUAACUAGCAGCUAGGUUCUUCCUUCUAAAUGGAAUAUAUCAGGCCACCAAGAUAGUUCCAAGUGUUGUUCAAAAAGUUAUCGAUUUAUUCACCAAAACAAUAACUUCAAGCAAGAGUAAUUUCUGCUAGCUCUCUUCUCUAUAACAGCUUACUAGACAAAAUGUGUUUGAUUUAACAGCACUCUGAAUGCCAGAUGUAUUCUCCUGUUCCUUUAUGAAAAACAAUGCAGUUACUCUUGAAUAGGGAGUCUCCACUUGGGAGGGCAUGCUCAUAAUGCCACCCUUCCUUUGAAAUUUUUUUACUAGCUGGAAGUUUUGAAAGUGAAUGUAUCUGGCAAGACCCACCCUAAGACAUUGUGCCCACAGACUUUUCUUUUCAGGACACCAAAUGUUGUACCUCUGUUGUUGGAGCAAUUCCACAACUCUGAGACAAGGAGUAACAGAUAAGUCCUAAUACAGUACAGGCCUACAGAAGCUCUACAAAUUUAGAUACAUCUAUUUCUAGUAGAUCUAGUUGGACAGAAAUCCCUCUGCAUGGUCUUUAUAGUUCCUUGAGGGGACCUACUUCUGCUAUUGAUGGAAAGAAGUAAUCAUUAGUGUUCUUUGUACAAAACAUCUCUAUGUAGUCUGUAAGCAGCUUAUAUAAAUAUUUAAGUUAUGCUUGUCCUUAACAAUCACUUAUUUGAGAAGAACCUGUAAUGUUCUCUUAUCUGUUGAAUUAUAAUUAAGACCUAUUUUAAAAUAAAUGCAUGUAUCCUUACUUAUCUGGGUGGUAAAUCUUGCUGAUAUGAAUUUUAGAUGCUUCAGUAUCAUCAUGUGAAAGACCCACAGUCAUGUCUGUGGAAGUCAAAAAUCUACACAUAUUUAUCCGAGGUAAGAAUUCUAAUUUUAUCUAAAAACCAUAGAAAAAUUGGGUUGAAAAGAACUUCUGGAGUUUACCUAAUCUAUCCCCAGUGUAAGGAAUAUCAGUGCAAACAUACGGUAUCCUCUGCACUGAGUAAGGAAAGUUGCUUUUUUCUCUAAAACUGUAGAACUAAGUUUUUCUAUCCUUCAGCAGCUGGCCAGAAAGUUAAAAAGUUUUCAUAUGCAUUUGAGCUUUUGAAUAAAUAUAUUUGUAACUCUUGCAUGACUUCAGUUUCUAUGAACACUCAUGUAGCCAAUUUGUGUGCAAUGAACAUUAAUCA